AUUCUCACGUGUUGUGGGAGGAACCCAGGGGGAGGCAAUUGAAUCACCGGGGCCAGUCUUUCCCGUGCUAUUCUCGUGAUAGUGAAUAAGUCUCACAAGAUCUGAUGGGUUUAUCAGGGGUUUUCAUUUUGCUUCUUCCUCAUUUUCUUUUGCUGCUGUAAUGUAAGAAACGCCUUUUGCCUCCUGCCAUAAUUCUGAGGCCUCACAGCCAUGUGGAACUGUCCUAUUGCCACUUUUCAGUGCUGCAGCAGCUAGUCAGAUGACAACUGGGUGAGAGCUUGGUCUCGAGUGUUUCCUGUGAGGCCAGAAUAUUGCUCUGAUUCCUCAGGGGUGACUCAGCCCUCCGGUGGGAAAUAUGUGACCUCAUUUGCAUUUCCUAAUUGAAUUGCUAUCAGCUUUCCUGCAAGACUGCACCAAAAAACAGUUCUUCCAGAUUCCAGCACUGCCUGCAUUGCCCACAGAAAGGCUGCUUUUAAAUAGUUGCUAAGAGAGGGCGACAAAAGAAGGAGAAAAGUUGCCAAAUUUUUAUGGUUCAUCUAACUGUAAAGCUGUCAGUUUUACCCAGCUCCCCAGAGUCGCUAAAAUAAUGGACAGAGGAGGCGGCACUUGAAGAAACCUCGACAUAAGAGAAAUGAAAUUUACAGAACCAGGAAAUUAGGGGUCCCCAUGCACCUGCCCUGGCAGAAUCUGCUUCCAGGCUCCUCUCAAUAAACACUGCCCUGGGACUCCCAGCGCUCUGUAAACUGAUGCUUUGAAGGAGGCCAUUUGUUUCUCCAGAACCUUCUGCCAGCAGAACUCUUGCUUACCACGUGCCCCCAUCAGAACUCCCACCUUCUCUAAACACAGUUAGGUAGCCCUCUGCAUGCAUUUGUUUAAAAAAAUUAAAUUGUGAGUAAUAGACUAUAAGUACAACAGCGUACAGAACACCAGCUAAAAAAAUGAUGGCAGAAUGAGCACCUGUCUUGCCACAAGACUCCCUCCCACCCUCUGGUGUCCCCCAGCAUGGCUUCCUGCUGCCCCCUGAAAGGAACCCUCAACCGACUGUAACUCUGCACCUCAGUGCCACCCGAAUUUGGACUUCAUGGGAGUGCGGUCACUCGGCUGACACGUGUUCCUGCUGCCAGGCACCUGCCUGCUCUCCUUCUUUGGUCUGUUUGUGAGAUUCGCUGGCUUUGUUGCUUCUAGCUGCAGUUUGUUCACUUUUACUGCCGUAUAAUAUUCCACUUUAGGAGCCCACUGCAAUUUAUUGACUCAUUGCAAUGGUGAGGGCAUGUGUGUUGUUUCCAGCUUUUGGUGAUUAUGCGUAAGAUUUCUCUUAACGUCCCGUACAGAGUUCUUGGUAUUACCUGCCUAUACUGCUAUGGGCAUACACCAAAAACGAGGCAUAUGUAUAUUUGACUUUAAUAGUAAUUCUGAAUUGCUGUCUAAAGUGUUUGUACCAUUGUACACUCCCAUCAAGAGUAUACGAGUGCUGCAAAUGUCCUUUCCCAGACUCUGCCUUAUUGUCUCAUUUUUAAGAUAUAUGUUUUGAUGAUCAGAAGUUCUUUUUUUUUUUUUUUUUUUUUGACAGGCUUUUGCUCUGUUGCCCAGGCUGGAGUGCAGUGGCAUGAUCUCAGCUCACUGCAACCUCUACCUCUCGGGCUCAAGUGAUUCUCCUGUUUGAGACUCCCUAGUAGCUGGGAUUACAGGUGUGCACCACCAUGCCUAGCUAAUUUUUGUAUUUUUAGUGGAGACAGGGUUUCACCAUGUUAGCCAGGCUGGUCUCGAACUCCUGACCUUGGGUGAUCUGCCCACCUUGGCCUCCCAAAGUGCUGGGAUUACAGGCGUGAGCCACCGCACCUGGCAGAAGUUCUUAUUUUUAAUAAAGUCCAGUGAUCAUUCUUUCCCGUGUUUCACGCUUCACGUGCCAUGUGCGAGGAAGCUUUCCACACCCGGGGGUCAGUUCACUCCCAGCUGCAUUGCUUUGCCUUUCCUGUUUAGGUUUUCAGUCCACCUCAAAUGGAUUUUGGUUGUGGUGUGAGGUAGGGGUCAUUUUACUUUUUUCUUAAAGAUGCCCCAUUGGCCCAGCAUCAUUUAUUGAAAAGACAGUCUUUCCUCUGUUGUUUCUGUAGAAAUGGGCAAACUUUCCCCCAAAUGGCCAGAUGGUAAAUAUUUUAGGCAUCUCAGGUUAAGGGGCAAAAUUGAGGACAUCGUAUAGGUACUUACAUAACCCUUUAAAAUGGAACCAUUUAAAAAUGUAAAAACCAGUCUUAGCUUGCUGGCCAUAAAAGGCCUGUGGGCUACAGCAUGCUGGCACCUGCUCUACAGCACUGCUCUUAUAAUAAAAAAUCAAGCGUCUGCACCCUGGGCAUUUGACAAGGCUCAUCAGAUUGUAAAGAUGAACUGGGUGGAUUUUGUAGUAUGAGAGUUAUACGUCCAUGAAGCUGAUUUUUAAACACAUUACAUGUCUUUUUCUGGGCUCAUUAUUUUUGUUCCAAGUGUCUAUCUAAUCAUCUUUGCUUCAAAAUGACACCGUUUUAAUGGCUGUAGUUCAGUGGUUCUCAAAAGGGGGCAGUUUUGCCCCCCAGGGAACAUUUGGCAGUGGCUGGAAAGAGCUUUGGUUGCAUAUGGAGGUUAUGGGGCUUUACCUGGCGUUUAGUGGGUAGAGGCCAGGAGUCUGGCUUACUAUCCUGUAGCACACAGGACAGCCCCAACAACUUGUCUGGAAGGAUGUGUCCUCCCAUCUUUUUCUUGUUCUAGGCUACCUUCGCCCUUUCCAUUUCCAUUAAAAAAUUUUAAGUCAGCUCUUUACUCUUCCCGAAACGAGCAAACAAAAAAUCUGCUGGAAUUUUUAUUGAGGUUGUGUUGACUCUAUGGCAACUUUGGGUAGAAUCAAUAUUCUAACAUAAGCCUUCCAAGUUAUGAGCUCAGCAUAUCCCUCCAUUUUUAUAGUUCUUUAAUUUUUCUCAACAAAAUGUAAGAAGUCUUGUACAUUUUUGUUAGAUUUAUUCCCAGUUAUAUGAUCGUUUUUAAUGCUAUUGUAAUUGGGAUCUAGUUCAGAUUUUAUUUUCUAAGGAUUUAUCCCUGGUACAUAGAAGUACAACUAUUACAUCCAGCACCCUUGCUAACCUUACUCACGAGUCCCAGUAACUUAGUACAGGUUCUUUUAGGACAGAUUACAUUUUCUAACAUUCAUAAUCAUAUAAGCUACAAAUAAUGUCAGUUUCAUUUAUUCUAAUUUCUUUUUCUUGCCUUACUGCAUUGGCUUGUACCUCCAGUGUGUGUAUCCUCCCUAUAAGGAUUUGGGAGGACAAAACUUUGGGAGAGCAAUUCCUCUUUUUGUAAUCUUUGGAUAGGUUUGUGUAAGAUUUGUUUUAAUUUUUCCUGACAGCUUGGGUAGAACUUACUAGUGGAGCCAACAGGUGUGGACAGUUCUUUGUGAUAAGGAUUUUAGUUUUGUUUGUAACAAUAAAACAGUGCAGGAUUUUUUCUUAUGUUAGUUUGGUAAGGUGUAUAUUUCUACACUAUUAUCCUUUUCAUGUAUAUUUUUAAGUGUAUUGGUAUAAAUUGUAUAUAAUAUCCCCAAAUGAUCUUUCUGACGUCCAUGAGAUUAGUCAUGAUGUCAUCUUUUCAUUCCUGAUAAGGAUUAGUUGCAGUUUAUACCUUUUCUUUUUGCUCAGUCUGAUCAGCCUUGUAGUUUAAAGGACCAAUUUUGUUAUUUCUAUUGUUUUCUGUUUCAUUGUUUUCUCCUCCUGUUUUAACAAUUUCUUUCUUUAGACUUUGGGUCUCAUUUUCAGUUAUUUUUAUAGUUUCUUGAGAUGAAUGCCUGGAUUGUUGAUUUUCUGCCCUUUUUUUUUGAUAGGGUCUUGCUGUGUUGCCCAGGCUAGAGUGCAGUGGUGCAAUCUCAGCUCACUGCAACCUCUGUCCCCUGGGUUCGAGCAAUUCUCCUGCCUCAGCCUCCUGAGCAGCUGGGAUUACAGGGGCGUGCCACCAUGCCUGGCUAACUUUUGCAUGUUUAGUAGAGACAGGGUUUCACCACGUUGGCUGGGCUGGGCUCAAGCUCCUGACCUCAGGUGAUCCACCUGCCUUGGCCUCCCAAAGCGCUGGGAUUACAGGCACGAGCCACCACGCCCAGCCAAUUUUCUGCCUUCUUUAUCUUGUAAUAUAUGCAUUUAAGGCUAAACAUUUCCAUCUGGGCAUGACUUUAGCUACAUCCCAGUAGUUUUAUUACUCAGUUCAAAAUAUUCACUAAUUUCCAUGUGAUUUUUUUUUUUCCUGCCCAAGGGUUAAUGAGAAGGCUUUUACUUAACUUCUAAAUCUAUGGGGAUUUUCCAGUUACAUUCUUUGUUAUUGAUUUCUAGCCUACUUGCUCUGAGUUAAGAAAACAAACUAUGUUUUGAUUUUAAACCUUUGAAGUAUGUUGAGAAUUGCUUGAAGGCUAUGAAGUAUGUUGGGACUUGCUUGGUUAAUAUUUGUAAAUGUUCUGUCUAUACUUAAAAAUCAUGUGUAUUUAGCAGUGGUUGGUUUCUGUGCUUUUAUAUGUCUCAGUAAAGCCAGACCUGUUAAUUGUGUGAUUCUAAUCUAUUUCCUUACUGAUAUUUUCUGCUUGUUCUAUUAUUUGCUAAGAAAUUUUGUUAAAAUUGACCACUGAUUGCAUAGUUACUUCUCCUUUUAUUUCUAUCAAUUUUGGCAUAAAUAUUUUGAAGUCAUAUUAUUAAGUGCACACAAAUUUAGGAUUCCUGUAUCUUCUUGGUGAAUUAUUUAUCAUUACGAAGUGUUCCUCCUUGAAUAGAAUGCUUUUUCCUCAGAUUCUAUUCAUCUGAUAUUAACAGAGUCCACUAGCUUCCUUUUGAUUGGUACUUGCAUGGUAUUUAUUUCUCUAGGAUUUUACUGCUAAACUUUAGCCUUAUACCUUUUAGGUAUAUCUUUUACAAACUGCAUAUAGUUGGAUUUAUCUUUAUCCAUCAAUUUUUUAAAUUACAACAAAGAGAAAUGUGUAGCCCAUCUAUUCUGUUUUCAUUUCUCUUUUUUGCAUUUUUUGGCUUGAUAAUUUUUAUUAUUCUAUUUUUUCCUUUUAUUACGUUACUACUUACAGACUUUUAUGACUCUUUUAGUGAUUUUCUAAAGACUUUAUAACAAGUAUUUUCGUCUUAUUUAGGAGUAAUAUUAAUUUGUUAUUUCCAUCAUUUUUGAGAAAAAUGCAAACAACUUCUAUCUCUUUGAUUCCAUUUAUCCCUUCUCAAAGUUUAUGCAGUUUUUGCUGUAAAUUCGAGUUCUCUGUUUACACCCAUGAAACAUUACACUGCUGUGAUUCAUUUGUAUUUUUCAGUGUUCUUGGCCUUUUCCCAGCUCUUCAUUCUUUCCUCCAUUUCUGAGUGUUCACCUCAACUUGUUUUAUUUUUGUUUGAAGAACAUCAUUUGGGACAGAUUCUUUCAGUUUCUCUUCAUUCAACUUUACUUCCUGAAAGACAGUUUUACUGGAUGAUAGAAUUCUAUUUUCUUUUAGCACUUUUAAGAUAUUCCUUGGGAGGCCGAGGCAGGCAGAUCACGAGAUUAAGAGAUCCAGACCAGCCUGG
rnacentral:lncRNA from 1 species